rnacentral:rRNA from 1 species
UACGUAGGGUGCGAGCGUUAAUCGGAAUUACUGGGCGUAAAGCGUGCGCAGGCGGUGAUGUAAGACAGAUGUGAAAUCCCCGAGCUCAACCUGGGAACUGCAUUUGUGACUGCAUCGCUGGAGUGCGGCAGAGGGGGAUGGAAUUCCGCGUGUAGCAGUGAAAUGCGUGGAUAUGCGGAGAAACACCGAUGGCGAAGGCAAUCCCCUGGGCCUGCACUGACGCUCAUGCACGAAAGCGUGGGGAGCAAACAGG